AGCGAACGCUGGCGGCAGGCUUAACACAUGCAAGUCGAGCGGGCACUUCGGUGUCAGCGGCAGACGGGUGAGUAACACGUGGGAACGUACCCUUCGGUUCGGAAUAACGCUGGGAAACUAGCGCUAAUACCGGAUACGCCCUUUUGGGGAAAGGUUUACUGCCGAAGGAUCGGCCCGCGUCUGAUUAGCUAGUUGGUGGGGUAAUGGCCUUCCAAGGCGACGAUCAGUAGCUGGUCUGAGAGGAUGAUCAGCCACACUGGGACUGAGACACGGCCCAGACUCCUACGGGAGGCAGCAGUGGGGAAUAUUGGACAAUGGGCGCAAGCCUGAUCCAGCCAUGCCGCGUGAGUGAUGAAGGCCUUAGGGUUGUAAAGCUCUUUUGUCCGGGACGAUAAUGACGGUACCGGAAGAAUAAGCCCCGGCUAACUUCGUG
rnacentral:rRNA from 1 species